GAUGAAGAACGUAGCGAAAUGCGAUAAGUAGUGUGAAUUGCAGCAUUCAGUGAAUCAUCGAAUCUUUGAACGCACAUUGCGCCCCAUGGUAUUCCGUGGGGCAUGCCUGUUCGAGCGUCAUUUACCCCCUCAAGCUCCGCUUGGUGUUGGGCGUCUGUCCCGCUUCGCGCGCGGACUCGCCCCAAAGGUAUUGGCAGCGGUCGUGCCAGCUUCUCGCGCAGCACAUUGCGCUUCUCGAGGCACCGGUGGGCCCGCGUCCAUCAAGCUCACCCCCCCAGUUUGACCUCGGAUCAGGUAGGGAUACCCGCUGAACUUAAGCAUAUCAAUAAGCGGAGGA
rnacentral:misc_RNA from 1 species